rnacentral:rRNA from 1 species
UACGAAGGGGGCGAGCGUUGUUCGGAAUUACUGGGCGUAAAGGGCGCGUAGGCGGCGACCCAAGUCAGAUGUGAAAGUCCUGGGCUUAACCUGGGGACUGCAUUUGAUACUGGGUUGCUUGAAUUCGGGAGAGGAUAGCGGAAUUCCCAGUGUAGAGGUGAAAUUCGUAGAUAUUGGGAAGAACACCGGUGGCGAAGGCGGCUAUCUGGACCGACAUUGACGCUGAGGCGCGAAAGCGUGGGGAGCAAACCGG